AAAUCAAACCUUAUGGCUAAGAUCAAGUGUAGUAUCUGUUCUUAUCAGUUUAAUAACUGAUACGUCCUCUAUCCGAGGCCAAGUUUCAGUAUCCAAGCAAGGAGCAGGAAGAUGGAAUAGGAGCUUGCUCCGUCCACUCCACGCAUCGGCCUGGUAUUGCAGUGCCUCCAGGUAACGGUGCAUCCCCU
ensembl:snRNA U2 U2 spliceosomal RNA